UACGUAGGGGGCAAGCGUUAUCCGGAAUUACUGGGUGUAAAGGGAGCGUAGACGGCGAAGUAAGCCUGAAGUGGAAGCCCGCGGCCCAACCGCGGAACUGCUUUGGGAACUGCUUAGCUGGAGUAUGGGAGGGGUAAGCGGAAUUCCUGGUGUAGCGGUGAAAUGCGUAGAUAUCAGGAGGAACACCGGUGGCGAAGGCGGCUUACUGGACCAUGACUGACGUUGAGGCUCGAAAGCGUGGGGAGCGAACAGG
rnacentral:rRNA from 1 species